rnacentral:tRNA from 2 species
GGGCGCGUAGCUCAGUUGGUCAGAGCGCACGGUUCACAUCCGUGAGGUCACUGGUUCGAGCCCAGUCGUGCCCA